UACGGGGGGGGGCAAGCGUUGUUCGGAAUUACUGGGCGUAAAGGGCUCGUAGGCGGCCAACUAAGUCAGACGUGAAAUCCCUCGGCUUAACCGGGGAACUGCGUCUGAUACUGGAUGGCUUGAGAUUGGGAGAGGGAUGCGGAAUUCCAGGUGUAGAGGUGAAAUUCGUAGAUAUUCGGAAGAACACCAGUGGCGAAGGCGGCUCACUGGUCCGGUACUGACGCUGAGGUGCGAAAGCGUGGGGAGCAAACAGG
rnacentral:rRNA from 1 species